CCAGACUCCUACGGGAGGCAGCAGUGAGGAAUAUUGGUCAAUGGUCGGGAGACUGAACCAGCCAAGCCGCGUGAGGGAUGAAGGUACAGAGUAUCGUAAACCUCUUUUGUCAGGGAACAAAGGCGGGGACGUGUCCCCGGAUGAGUGUACCUGAAGAAAAAGCAUCGGCUAACUCCGUGCCAGCAGCCGCGGUAAUACGUAGGGAGCGAGCGUUAUCCGGAUUUAUUGGGUGUAAAGGGUGCGUAGAUGGAUAAACAAGUUGGUUGUGAAAUCCCUCGGCUUAACUGAGGAAUUGCAACCAAAACUGUAGAUCUUGAGUACUGGAGGGGAAAGCGGAAUUCCUAGUGUAGCGGUGAAAUGCGUAGAUAUUAGGAAGAACACCGGUGGCGAAGGCGGCUUUCUGGACAGAAACUGACAUUGAGGCACGAAAGUGUGGGGAGCAAACAGGAUUAGAUACCCCCGUAU
rnacentral:rRNA from 1 species